rnacentral:rRNA from 1 species
UACGUAGGGUGCAAGCGUUGUCCGGAAUUACUGGGCGUAAAGGGCGCGUAGGCGGCCUUCUAAGUCAGACGUGAAAUCCCCAGGCUUAACUUGGGAACUGCGUCUGAUACUGGGAGGCUUGAGUGCGGGAGAGGGAUGUGGAAUUCCAGGUGUAGCGGUGAAAUGCGUAGAUAUCUGGAGGAAUACCGGUGGCGAAGGCGGCAUCCUGGACCGACAUUGACGCUGAGGAGCGAAAGCAUGGGGAGCGAACAGG